CCACCGGAAAAAGAGGAGUGGCGAACGGGUGAGUAACACGUGGGUAACCUGCCCAUCAGAAGGGGAUAACACUUGGAAACAGGUGCUAAUACCGUAUAACAAUCAAAACCGCAUGGUUUUGAUUUGAAAGGCGCUUUCGGGUGUCGCUGAUGGAUGGACCCGCGGUGCAUUAGCUAGUUGGUGAGGUAACGGCUCACCAAGGCCACGAUGCAUAGCCGACCUGAGAGGGUGAUCGGCCACAUUGGGACUGAGACACGGCCCAAACUCCUACGGGAGGCAGCAGUAGGGAAUCUUCGGCAAUGGACGAAAGUCUGACCGAGCAACGCCGCGUGAGUGAAGAAGGUUUUCGGAUCGUAAAACUCUGUUGUUAGAGAAGAACAAGGAUGAGAGUAACUGUUCAUCCCUUGACGGUAUCUAACCAGAAAGCCACGGCUAACUACGUGCCAGCAGCCGCGGUAAUACGUAGGUGGCAAGCGUUGUCCGGAUUUAUUGGGCGUAAAGCGAGCGCAGGCGGUUUCUUAAGUCUGAUGUGAAAGCCCCCGGCUCAACCGGGGAGGGUCAUUGGAAACUGGGAGACUUGAGUGCAGAAGAGGAGAGUGGAAUUCCAUGUGUAGCGGUGAAAUGCGUAGAUAUAUGGAGGAACACCAGUGGCGAAGGCGGCUCUCUGGUCUGUAACUGACGCUGAGGCUCGAAAGCGUGGGGAGCAAACAGGAUUAGAUACCCUGGUAGUCCACGCCGUAAACGAUGAGUGCUAAGUGUUUGAAGGGUUUCCGCCCUUCAGUGCUGCAGCUAACGCAUUAAGCACUCCGCCCGGGGGAGUACGACCGCAAGGUUGAAACUCAAAGGA
rnacentral:rRNA from 1 species